AUGAGGCUGCGCCGCUUUAGCUACAAGGGGCCACUCCGCUCCUACUCAUUCAGUCCACAGCCUCUCGAGUUUGAACAAGUGGAUCUGGAAUUUUUCGAGCAAGGCUACUACAGGGUAAAGGAUCCAAAAUGGGACUUAGAAACUUUCUGGCGAUUCACUCGGAACUUCACUAGCACCAAGGAGAUGAGGCUGAAGGUGAACCACCUUGAGGAUAUCACCGUCCUCAGUGAGGCAAGGCAGGUCGAGCUCCUGCCGGCAUUCCGCCGCCUCCAGCGUCUCGAGUUUCAAGGAGCACAUUGGACCAAUGACAAGACUGCAGCAGUGACGACCAUCUUGAACCUGCUCCACUGCUGUCCUGUGCUCACUACCGCAAAGUACGAGGAGGAGGAUGCAUCGAAUAAACAAGGGGCACAGAAACAUAAACGAACUACUCGGAAUGAAAUUUUGAUGGCUGCGAUGGUAGGUCCGCGCUACUUAUUCCAAUGCUUGCAGAGCUCUCUGAGGAGAGUGGACUUACAGUUCCAGCUAGAGAAGAAGGACUGUCUUGGUGUCAAGCUGAUAAAAACUUUUGCCGAGAAUGCGAUGGUUCUUGAAGAAAUACGUAUUGACAGUGGAGACGAAAAGUUGUGUGAGCACAUGAAUCCUAGGAUUGCAAAGUGGAACUCGAGUAGGAAAGUGUUCGGGGCGACAAGUUUUGUGGUCUUACCUCUUAAGAUGUGA
rnacentral:rRNA from 1 species